AAUAGAUACCCGGGUAGUCCACGCCGUAAACGGUGGGCACUAGGUGUGGGCAACAUUCCACGUUGUCCGUGCCGCAGCUAACGCAUUAAGUGCCCCGCCUGGGGAGUACGGCCGCAAGGCUAAAACUCAAAGGAAUUGACGGGGGCCCGCACAAGCGGCGGAGCAUGUGGCUUAAUUCGACGCAACGCGAAGAACCUUACCAAGGCUUGACAUACACCGGAAACGUCCAGAGAUGGGCGCCCCCUUGUGGUCGGUGUACAGGUGGUGCAUGGCUGUCAUCAGCUCGUGUCGUGAGAUGUUGGGUUAAGUCCCGCAACGAGCGCAACCCUUGUCCCGUGUUGCCAGCAAGCCCUUGUGGUGCUGGGGACUCACGGGAGACCGCCGGGGUCAACUCGGAGGAAGGUGGGGACGACGUCAAGUCAUCAUGCCCCUUAUGUCUUGGGCUGCACACGUGCUACAAUGGCCGGUACAAUGAGCUGCGAUACCGCGAGGUGGAGCGAAUCUCAAAAAGCCGGUCUCAGUUCGGAUUGGGGU
rnacentral:rRNA from 1 species